rnacentral:lncRNA from 1 species
ACUUGACCAAUUUUACCAGUGUUGCUUAAUUUUUUAAACAUGUUUUGUGAGAUCUAAAAACCUCCACCUAUACUCAGUUCAAACGAAGCCGAGUCGUUAUAUGCGUUUUAUUUGGAGAUGUGCAUUCCAAAGGAACACUGUCUUUAGAUGGAUAUUCUCCUUGUUUUCAUAAAAAGAAAACACCACGUUAAUAUUGUCCAGGGCC